rnacentral:rRNA from 1 species
UACAGAGGGUGCGAGCGUUAAUCGGAAUUACUGGGCGUAAAGCGUGCGUAGAUGGUUAUGUAAGUCGGAUGUGAAAGCCCCGGGCUCAACCUGGGAAUGGCCAUGGAAACUGGCGAACUGGAGUGUGGCAGAGGGGGGUGGAAUUCCGCGUGUAGCAGUGAAAUGCGUAGAGAUGCGGAGGAACACCGAUGGCGAAGGCAGCCCCCUGGGCUAGCACUGACGCUCAGGCACGAAAGCGUGGGGAGCAAACAGG